rnacentral:sRNA from 1 species
AAAAACAAAAACUGAUGAGAUGCCCAUAAAGUGUUAAUUCAAGCUCCAGUGAGGCCGCAGCCCCCCGUCUGAUGCUCCUGAAGUCACCGACUCUAAAUGGUGUCGGGCCCUCUUGCCAGUGACUAGCCCCAUGCUUUAAGCUCUCAGAAUCCUUCUGACAUCGGGGUUCUUCCCUCUCAAGGCUUUCCACGAACCCUGUCACUAGUUGUGACCCACACAUGUCCUGUUCGCCUCACAUUUAGGGCUUAUUGUCUAUUUUCACAAAGAUGUCUCAUCUCUCUUCUCCUCCCCGGCCCUGCAGUCCCUGGUACGUGAGCCCCUUUCCCGGCGCCGGCAGCUGCUCCGGGAGAACUUUGUGGAGACGGAGGGCGAGUUUGUCUUCGCCACCUCCCUGGACACCAAGGACGUCGAGCAGAUCGCUGAGUUCCUGGAGCAGUCGGUGAAAGACUCCUGCGAGGGGCUGAUGGUGAAGACCCUGGAUGUUGAUGCCACCUACGAGAUCGCCAAGAGAUCGCACAACUGGCUCAAGCUGAAGAAGGACUACCUUAAUGGCGUGGGUGACACCCUGGACCUGGUGGUG